AAUAUUGGACAAUGGGGGCAACCCUGAUCCAGCCAUGCAGCGUGUGUGAAGAAGGUCUUCGGAUUGUAAAGAACUUUAAGUAGGGAGGAAGGGAUUUAGGUUAAUACCCUGAAGUUUUGACGUUACCAACAGAAUAAGCACCGGCUAACUCUGUGCUAGCAUCCGCGGUAAUACUGAGGGUGCAAGCGUUAAACGGAAUUACUGGGCGUAAAGCGCGCGUAGGUGGUACAGUAAGAUGGGUGUGCAAUCCCCGGGCUUAACCUGGGAACUGCUUUCAUAACUGCUGAGCUAGAGUACGGUAGAGGGUAGUGGAAUUCCCUGUGUAGCGGUGAAAUGCGUAGAUAUAGGAAGGAACACCAGUGGCGAAGGCGACUACCUGGACUGAUACUGACACUGAGGUGCGAAAGCGUGGGGAGCAAA
rnacentral:rRNA from 1 species